rnacentral:lncRNA from 10 species
GAGUCUUCUAUGUCUGGGAUAAUUUAAACAUGGGGUGUUGGAUUGGGUCUCUUGAUUCUAUAAUUAUAUGUCAGCCAGUCGAAUGAUGGCAACUUUUAAGGACUGGUCCUUAGGGAAGAGGAGGUCAAGUGGUAAAGACCUAAUUCCACACAGCCCAGGUGACUACAUGGAGAAUGUGCUCAAAGGCGAAGUUUAUGCUCUGAGCUGGACAGUGUAGACUAUUAGGGGAAAACAGUGAAUGGGAAGAAAAGGUGUGUGGCCCAGAUUCAAUUUCUAGACACUUCCUUUCCUAUUUUUUCUACCAAGACUACCUAGCAGUGGCAAGUAUGUUCUGAACAUUCUGCAGAAAUUCCUUCUACCUCACUGAAGUUUCAAGUAAUUAAUGUGAAAUGGAGGAGUUGACACAGAUUAAAUGGGCACACAUAUAAGGACAUUCACAGUCAUUUUGUGAAGCACUAUUAUGAGACCUAAAUAGCAAGAAGCAAAUGUGAAUAACUCUGUCAUUUAAAAAUUUUUAAAUCCAAAUUGGAUUUUAACAUUUUUCUUCUUUUUACUUUAUUGCCUUUCCAAUGCAGAUACCGUUAAACAUAUUGGCAGUUUUUUCUCAAAGCAAAUAGGUGAAGUUUCUCUCUGUCUCUCCUAGAGAGACCGUCCUGGAUUUGAUUCCCUAUGGCUUGGGCUUGUGUUCCUCCCUUCCUUCUGUGGUGUGCUGUAGAACCAUGCAGGCUUCCCUCUCCACUAUGACUGACUUCAACUGCAUCUUCAGUUGCUCUUCUUCCCUCCAAACAAAACAAAACAGCAAAGCAAACAAAAGCCAAACCAAACCAAAACGCUACUCCUCUUACCCUAGAAACAAUCACCCAAGAAGCUCUGGUUUGUUCGUGCAGUAGCUUAGGUCACACAAUCAAUGAAUGGAAGACACAGAACUAGCAGAACUAGAACGCUAUUUUUUUUUUUUUUGUAACAGAUAGCUUGUCUUUACUUUUUUAAAAAAUGUAACUUAAAAUUAAAAAAAAAAUUUCCAUAAGUUAUCGGGGUACAGGUGGUAUUUGGUUACAUGAGUAAGCAGAACGCUGAUUUUGAUUCUCAAUUCAGUAUUCCUACUAGCUCAGGCCUCUCCCAGGCAGUGUCUUCAUGGUGUUAAGUGUGCACCUAAGAACAGCCUGUAGACCUAUAUACUGUGUCUCUCAUAAGUGUACUGCGUUCUAUUUUUUAUGUGUAAAUGCUGUAGCUGAAAUUAAUAAAAUGUUUUGCCUUUGUGUAUUUUCUCUAUAAAUACACAAAGACAGCUAGGAAA